rnacentral:rRNA from 1 species
UACGGAGGGUGCAAGCGUUGUCCGGAUUUAUUGGGUUUAAAGGGUGCGUAGGCGGCCCGUUAAGUCCGGGGUGAAAGCCCACAGCUCAACUGUGGAACUGCCCUGGAUACUGGCGAGCUUGAGUCCAGACGAGGUUGGCGGAAUGGAAGCUGUAGCGGUGAAAUGCAUAGAUAGCUUCCAGAACCCCGAUUGCGUAGGCAGCUGACUAGGCUGGUACUGACACUGAGGCACGAAAGCGUGGGGAGCGAACAGG